rnacentral:lncRNA from 1 species
GGCUGCUCCCGGUCCGCCUGUGGCCGGGUACCCUGAAAACGCCAUGGCCCAGCCGUGGAACUCCACGAGUAUGCGCACCUUACGAUUCCAGCAGACGCCACGGUACUUGCUGCUAACCGGUUUAUCGCUUGCGGGCUUCCCAUCGUCAUCGUGGCCAUCCACGUAGUCCUCAUCCUGAACGGCGCAUGAGGGGCUUACAUAUAAGACGCUGCAUGCGUCUACAGCCAUGUCCAUAUGCAGCAAGAGCCACACCCACAGUUGCGCCGAAGUUGGAAGCAAAUUCUCGCCACUUUUCUUUGGUCUGAACUUCUCUAGAACGCCCCCAAGCCGCACGCAGAACGCACCUGAGCUGCGCGUCCGCGCAUGGUGCUUGCACCGGCUACAGCCUGCGAGUUUAGCGUGCCAGCUUAGCGUAUGUCAUUUGCUCACACGAGGUGACCAGCCCGUCUCGUAACGCAGCUGGGUUAUGCAACGCAGGAGCAGGACUGCUGUUGCCUGAGAUACUGGCAAGCUGCUGUCGGCAAUCAGAGUGAGGCGCGCGCGGCUUUACCUUGAGAGGUGAAUUGCUCGCCUGGCAGGCCCGUUGCCGCCUCGCCUCACACCUGCCUCCUCUAGCGUUUACUACUGCUCAGGUCAAUUCACACAAUCGUCUGGUGGUGGUUGAACCGGUGGCUGUGUGACUGUGUGAGGCGGACAAGAUUUACGCGAAAGUCGCCUGUGCCGGGUAAGGCUAAGACCACAGUGUAAGUAGUAGACGGAGUAGGUUGGAUACAAAUGUAUAUUGAGGAAGUGAUUGAGCUGGCGUUUGCGGAAGUUGCCUGUCGAAAUGAGGCAAUAAGGCAAUGAAGGUAAGGUAGUGGUAGACGAGCACAUCGAGCAGUGCGUAUGUAUCAUUUUCUACAUUUCCAAAUAUGCACUUCGGUGCACUCCGGCGCAUGCCUUGUGAGUUGGCAAACUUGGAAGCCGAAACCUGCUGCCGGUGAUCGAUGUAACGCAAUUCUUGAGUCUUUGUUACAUACAUUCAACGAGGCACUCUCACUCACUCUCUUUUGCUCACUCUCGCUCGACCGUGCAUGUGUUACACCAAAAUGUGCGUGAAAGGUCGCCUCGGGAGCUGCGGGGCACUUACAAUCGCUGUACCAGGUGGCACUAGCCCAAAUGCAUGUUACGGAAGCAUAGGAAGCGCGGGGAUGCGUUCUGGCUUCGCUGCCACUGCUCUUCCGUCACCCAGGUUCUGAGUUAGACAGCGUUCCCCGCGCCUCCCAUGAUCACCCCUGCCCACGAUAGCCUGCCCAGCCAUGCACACACGGCGUGCCAACCACCCCCAUCCCUUCCCACCUUUCCGAGCCCCCGGGGCAACGCAAAUCUUGAGUUUUACGUACAUGAAACAAGGCACUCUCACUCAC